rnacentral:tRNA from 1 species
UGACCCGUGGUGUAACGGUAGCACUGCAGAUUUUGGUUCUGCCUGUCAAGGUUCGAAUCCUUGCGGGUCAA